UGGGGAAUAUUGGACAAUGGGGGGAACCCUGAUCCAGCCAUGCCGCGUGUGUGAAGAAGGCCUUAUGGUUGUAAAGCACUUUAAGCGAGGAGGAGGCUACUUUAGUUAAUACCUAGAGAUAGUGGACGUUACUCGCAGAAUAAGCACCGGCUAACUCUGUGCCAGCAGCCGCGGUAAUACAGAGGGUGCAAGCGUUAAUCGGAUUUACUGGGCGUAAAGCGUGCGUAGGCGGCUAAUUGAGUCGGAUGUGAAAUCCCCGAGCUUAACUUGGGAAUUGCAUUCGAUACUGGUUAGCUAGAGUGUGGGAGAGGAUGGUAGAAUUCCAGGUGUAGCGGUGAAAUGCGUAGAGAUCUGGAGGAAUACCGAUGGCGAAGGCAGCCAUCUGGCCUAACAAUGACGCUGAGGUACGAAAGCAUGGGGAGCAAACAGG
rnacentral:rRNA from 1 species